CCCUCUCCAGCUUUCCAGCCACCAUGAAUCCUGAGCCUACUCUUAAACUGAUCAUUGGAAAAAACAUUGACCAGUAUGGAGGCAAGAAGAGAUCAUGGAAUUGGUGGGGCGACUGUGGUAUUCUCUGACAAAAAUAUUUGGACAAGGGUGAGCCAAUUUGAAGAAAUGGAAUUACAGAAGAUGAGAUCACCAGGUUAGAGAG